CUCAAGUUAGAGGACUGGAUGAAAUAUGAAGAAGAAUUAUAAUGAGAUUUUGAGAGUAAGAAUUAACUUGUUUCUGAUUACUUGAUUGGUACUUAUAGGCUUUUUAGGAAACUAGUCAUUGUUUCAUUUAUGGCGACAAUCUCGGUUGAUAUGUCGAGAUUGCCUCCAUGAAAUUCGAUGUUGCUUUAUUAUUGGUGUGACUAUUGCUCGAUAUAUCUUUCGCUCACCUUGUCGAGAAAGCAAACGUACUUUGUUUGG
rnacentral:misc_RNA from 1 species